UACGGAGGGGGCCAGCGUUGUUCGGAAUUACUGGGCGUAAAGCGUGCGCAGGCGGUUAUGCAAGACAGAUGUGAAAUCCCCGGGCUUAACCUGGGAACCGCAUUUGUGACUGCAUAGCUGGAGUACGGCAGAGGGGGAUGGAAUUCCGCGUGUAGCAGUGAAAUGCGUAGAUAUGCGGAGGAACACCGAUGGCGAAGGCAGUCCCCUGGGCCUGUACUGACGCUCAUGCACGAAAGCGUGGGGAGCAAACAGG
rnacentral:rRNA from 1 species